rnacentral:lncRNA from 1 species
UUUCGCAAUGUUGACGCAAUCUAUAAAUAGUGGAACAAAAGGACCAACUUCCUCGGAGCUUUGCUGAAACUGCACAAAAAAUCGAGCUGGGGGGUUCCCUGGUCCCUGGCGAUGGGGCGGGGAGCGCAGCGCCAGGGGAGGGGGCGGGCGCGACAGCGCGGGCCCCGCCGAGGGGGACACCUGGCUGAGGCACAGCUGCCGCCGCGCCGCGCGAACCCAAGGCUCCAGUCCCUGCGCGGGUUGGAGCGCUCAUCCCCACCGGGGGUCUUCCUCCGCCGAUGACAGGUAAAUAUUGUUGCCAGUUAUUUCCACAAGAAACAUUUUAAGAGAUGAUGUCAGAUCACAGAAUCUUACAUGAAGCUCACAGCUGGCCAAAACAAACAAGGGCCCGCAGUCCUCGUGGUCCCUCCACCUCUGCGGCUGAGCAAAGGAGCUGAACGCACGCGCAAGAAAAGAAACAGGACUGCGACGGAGGAAGCGAAGGGAGAGCGGCGAACAACGAUGAUUCUACGCAUGUUCAAGGCGCGGGGGUUGGGGUAGGAGUUUGCGCAUGAGCAGAAGCGUCGGGAAAGGAAGAGAAGGGGGGUUAGGAGGCGGUAUUGACAGCUGUGGAGGCAGCCCGCGUUCCCGGCAUGCCCUGGGGCGGCGGGGUUGGCUCUAACGAAUUUGAAUGAGGAGCCUCAGCGCUUUCGGCGCCAUUUUCGAGUGAUGCCUGAUCUCAUCAAUCUAGCGGGAGAGACGGGAUAACCUGUCCGAGAGUAUAGCGCCGCUAGGACUCCGCCGAAAAAUCACUAAAAAAAUCGCCAAAAAUUACUUGAAGCAAAGGGCAGUCCGCAGAGCUUCGCCAGGGUUGGCGCAGUCGGUAAGAGCCUGAAGAAGUAGCAGAGCGGGACUCGGGAGGUGGCAGUGGUGGGACCGUCAGGCGGUGGGGGGUGCCAGCAGUGGGCACUGGGUCCGCCCUCAUUUUAAUCGCGAAAAAUGCAGGGAGAUAGGGUUGGGGGUAAUUGGGUGUCUGCGAGUGGGCGGCGGGCGGAAUGUGGCGGGAGCGCGGGGAGACGGGGGCGUGGGGGAGGGGAGUGGCAGUUUGA